AGCGAACGCUGGCGGCAGGCUUAACACAUGCAAGUCGAGCGGGCGUAGCAAUACGUCAGCGGCAGACGGGUGAGUAACGCGUGGGAACGUACCUUUUGGUUCGGAACAACACAGGGAAACUUGUGCUAAUACCGGAUAAGCCCCUUACGGGGAAAGAUUUAUCGCCGAAAGAUCGGCCCGCGUCUGAUUAGCUAGUUGGUGAGGUAACGGCUCACCAAGGCGACGAUCAGUAGCUGGUCUGAGAGGAUGAUCAGCCACAUUGGGACUGAGACACGGCCCAAACUCCUACGGGAGGCAGCAGUGGGGAAUAUUGGACAAUGGGCGCAAGCCUGAUCCAGCCAUGCCGCGUGAGUGAUGAAGGCCCUAGGGUUGUAAAGCUCUUUUGUGCGGGAAGAUAAUGACGGUACCGCAAGAAUAAGCCCCGGCUAACUUCGUGCCAGCAGCCGCGGUAAU
rnacentral:rRNA from 1 species